AAUUGUUGCGCUACUGGUGAUGCCUGUUGAUGUUAGGUAGGCAGCUACAGUAGCUGAAUGAUGUUAACAUCUUCAGGUUUUGUUUCAUUAAAUGUAUUUUAUUUUAUCUGGGUGCUUACGUCACCUACUGACACCCUGGUACUACCCAUAGAUCCCGCUCUCCUCAGUCUGAGAAAACACUGAGAGAGAAAGAACAACUUGUCAGGUGGUGCAUUGGAGACUGAUGUGUUCCUGUCCUGUCUUUUCAUAAUACUAUUGCAGAUCGACAUAAAAGCCUAAAAGACAGCCGUGGUGUCGCUCUUCAUUUCUUGGUUCUCCUGUGGUGCAUAAGAAACCCGCUACAUUGUGCUACAGCAGUGGCUGCAUCUGAUGGAGCACAAAUGAAUAAAUAAAUCGGAACGGUGGAGCCAUUUGGACGUUUGACAUUUACUGAUGAGACAAUUAAGGUCCCGUUCUAUUCUGUAAGACA
rnacentral:lncRNA from 1 species